rnacentral:lncRNA from 1 species
CUGAAGAAAUUUGUCUCUGUAGAAACCCACAGGGACGCCCUUCGUUUGCACAGAUUAUUGCUCGACUCAAAGGUGUGCAUCGCCUUAGUGUGCAGAGAACCGACAGUCGUGAAAACCCAUCUCUGAUGUAACAAUAGCUCGGAACUUGUUCGAAGAACCAGUUGAGCAGAAGAAGUGAGUAUUUUAGGAGCAUAAUUGGAUUGGGUGGUGGUUCAUUGGCGAAGCUCAAUGCAACCGGAAUCAAAACUCGCCUCGCCUCGACUUCAGCAAGUGGCUCUUAAGUGCAGUUGGGGAAAACAUUGGGGCUAAAAUUCUUAAGAAAAUGGAGAAAAUGUUUAGAAGGUAUUAGGGUUGAUAAUGUAGCUGAUUAUAUUUGUAAUAAAUCUCUUAGAGAGAGAGAGAGAGAU